CUGCUACUUCUAGAGAUAGAAGGUUCCCUUCGGGGACAGAGUGACAGGUGGUGCAUGGUUGUCGUCAGCUCGUGUCGUGAGAUGUUGGGUUAAGUCCCGCAACGAGCGCAACCCUUGAUCUUAGUUGCCAGCAUUCAGUUGGGCACUCUAAGGUGACUGCCGGUGACAAACCGGAGGAAGGUGGGGAUGACGUCAAAUCAUCAUGCCCCUUAUGACCUGGGCUACACACGUGCUACAAUGGAUGGUACAAAGGGCUGCAAAACCGCGAGGUUAAGCCAAUCCCAUAAAACCAUUCUCAGUUCGGAUUGUAGGCUGCAACUCGCCUACAUGAAGCCGGAAUCGCUAGUAAUCGCGGAUCAGCAUGCCGCGGUGAAUACGUUCCCGGGUCUUGUACACACCGCCCGUCACACCACGAGAGUUUGUAA
rnacentral:rRNA from 1 species